AGUAACGCGUGAGGAACCUGCCUUCCAGAGGGGGACAACAGUUGGAAACGACUGCUAAUACCGCAUGACACAUGACCGUGGCAUCACGGACAUGUCAAAGAUUUAUCGCUGGAAGAUGGCCUCGCGUCUGAUUAGCUAGUAGGCGGGGUAACGGCCCACCUAGGCGACGAUCAGUAGCCGGACUGAGAGGUUGACCGGCCACAUUGGGACUGAGAUACGGCCCAGACUCCUACGGGAGGCAGCAG
rnacentral:rRNA from 1 species